GAUGACCUCUUUAAGUCUAUCAAAAGUGUGCAAGUUUGAGCAUGUGUACAUUCGGCCUAUGGAUUUAUUUAUUUUAUCAGUAUGAAUUAGAUUGAGCAAUAGAAGCCCCACGUUUAUUCCAUAGGAUGGGAUCCGCACUAUGCAGCUGUUGCCAGAACGCAUUUUUCACUGGCUGUCCACUGGUUUGAAAAACAAUGAUUGAUAGGCAGCUUAAACUUCUUGAAUUCAACCAUUAUUGGGUUCAAAUACACAUUUAGAUUUGUGAACAGCUAUCCACAACAACCACAAUCCGUAAGGCGCAAUAACUAAAUGAGAGAGCAGCAGUGGGAUUCACAUCAAUGCGCUAUGUAGAUAUCAAUAAUAAGUGAUAUCCGUAGCGCCGUAGACUACACAACUGCUGUCAUUCGUACCUCCAAGUGUUUAUUCAAGUUGGAUAAUCUUUGGAUGCCGACAGCAGUCACACCAUUGGAAGACAUAGCUUGGACUGUAGCCUACAAAAGCCUAUUCCUGAGCUAUGUUCGAAUACCCGUACUAACAUACUGUAUACAACAUACUUAAUGAGUAUAUACUACAUACUAUAUACAAUUUGUUAAUUUUACUUACUAUAAAUGAACAGUAUGCUUUCAGUUGAGCGUACUAGCUCUUCACCUGUCUACCGGAAGUUGAUGCUCUUGCUAUGCAACCUCUUGCUAGCUAGUUAGCAUAACAAAUUACUAGUUAGACAUUCGGGUGUGUUAGAAAGAGGAGGAAGGGAAGCGCUACUAAGGUACACAAUAGUACAUUUUGGUAGACAGAAGGUGCUCUUUGGUAUAAGUGGUGAAUUAGUCAUCAAAAAGAAAGGAGGACCAAGGCACUUCUUAAAUUCAAUCUGGAGUGCCAGAGUGCGCUCGUAGAUUCAGAACGUUGUCAGAUUGUCCAUUUGUAAAUUCAGAGCAUAUCGCUCUCGGAGUGCACACUGGACGCUCAGGCCGAGAAGUAGGGUUUGUUUGAGCAUUCUGACCUUACAACGGCAGUCAAGCACCCAAGCUAACAUUGGCUAGCUUGCCAGCUACUUACAAACACAAAUGAGACCACUCUGACCAUUUUACUCGCCCUAGCAGAGCUGGUUAGGCAGUUUUCCUGUUAUCCAGAGUGUUGGUGACUGUAACUGUGCUGCUGGCAACAAUUUGAUUAGAGGUUUACUGACACCGGCCAUAUUCAACAGGUGUUGAGUGCUGGUAAAUUCAUUAUGCUGCAGUGAAAGUGCUCUGAAAUCGGAGUAGACACUGCGCACAAUGACUAUACCAUUUAGCUAAGCUAAGAAUGACGGGAAUAAUCAAGUCAAUAAACAUUGGGUAGAUAGCCUAUAUUUAAUAUACUGGCAAGUUUGAUGUAUAAGUAGCCAACUAACGUUAGGUAGCUAACUAACAACAUACCGGUACAUACUGCUGUAAUGAUACGCUAUGUGGUUCGUAAGGACAGCAUAGCUAACAAAUUGUCAGCCAUUAGAACGUGUGAGGUAACUUAUUUGAAAAGUUAUUACUUUAUUAUAUUGCUCAACAUUUUCUUAACAUUUGUCAUAAUUAGUUAAAGCAGUGAAUUUGUAUCCGCUCUCUGCAUAUUUUCCGCCAUUUUCUUCAAAUAUGGAAACAAUGUGAAGCCACACCCAUUUCCUGAAGAAUUGCAUUAUGGGCCCUGAAGUAUGGAAUUAGUGUCCUCUGCGUGUAUACUUCAUAUUUUGGCGAAUUUAGUACGACAUCCCGGAACUUUUGGUAUACUAACUAUAUCCAUACUAUGACCAAUAAGCAGACUAUAUACUCAAUUCACGUCACAAAUAGUAUGGUUAGUGCGGUUUUCAUGAGAAUUCAAACACAGCUCUGCUCUUUUCCCGCGAUCCAUCAAACACAUUUGGUGUGUCAUUAUUGUGGUCUUUGACUUGUGGUCAGACUCACUUAAAUUUGUGUCUUUUUUCAAUGCUGAUUUGAAUGUCUGAGAAAACAGAGAAGUGUCCGAUUUUUUUUUUGCAAACAUCCUUUCUGAAUUUAAAAGUAAUCCUCUAAAUAAUCAUCUAGUUUUUCAAAAGUAUCUGUAAUCUGAUUACAAUAUUUUUGCUGGUAACGUAACAAAUUACAAUUACCGUUUUUUGUAAUCCCUUACGUGUAACAGAUUACAUGUAAUCCGUUACUCCCCAACCCUGAAAACAAGCAAGCACAUAUGAAGGGAGAUAGCUAAACAUUCAGCAGAUUCUAUGCAGUUUUGUUUAUUAGCAACAGUUUAUGCAGAUGCAAAACAUUCACAAGCCCCACACACCCAUAACAAUCAUAUAGUGUGAAUAAUGUAGCGAAUUCAGGGGUAGCCCUGACCAGGAUUUGAACUUGAACAGUCCAGUGACUGUCAGCCCAACACCUUAGCCCUUACGCACUAAUCAUCAAGGACAGAGAUCCCAACCUCUUUUAAGGUCACGACACUACCCCCUUCCUUUGAAUUCUCACGCUUCUUUAUGCCAAGACCUUCACUUUAACAAACGCCUCUCCGAUGGCCUCACUGGCACCAUCCCACGUUUCACACCAAUGUAGUGAAUUGUAGUGAAUUGAGGGGUAGCCUUGACCGGGACUCAAACCAGGUUCCAGCCACUGUCAACCCAACACCUCCUAGGUGUUGUUUGUUUAGGUAUUGGGUCGCUACAAUAGGUUAACAUGUUGCCUUGUGUUUUCCUCCUCACCGGAUGCCUUCCAAUCGGGGAAGAUCCCGCCUAGUCCGCUCACUGGUUCCCUAGUCCGUUAUGUUUUUAUCAGCUUGUCAAAAAAAUAUCUUCAAAAAGUAGGUUAACUUCGCACGUUCAUCCAAAAUAAUUCCAGCAUCCGAACAGUGCACUGUGCACCCGCCAACUUCCCUUGAAUUUGUGGCCCUCCACGCCCAGGCAUGCUACCAGUACCUGGGCCCCAUAUGGGUGGUCAUGGUCCCCCUAUGAUGCAAAUGAGGGGCCCCCCACCACAUGGAAAGAUGCCUGGAGGUCCAGGUAUGCGAACACCAAUGGGCCACAUGCAGAUGAUGCUUGGCACACAUAUGAUGCGCCCCCAUCGGCAAAUGAUGCUAAUCAGACCGGGUAUGAUCCGGCCAAACAGACCUAAAAUCAAGUGGCUCUCGGUUCUGCACUGCAAUAAAUGCUCUUGGAGGUCACUGCUGCCCCAAAUGCAUUGUUUGGGUUUUUGAAAUGGCCACCUAUUGUCUCGACUCUAAAACCCUUUUGGUUAGAGUAAACACUGUGUUUCAGCAAGCUCCCGUGGCAUUAGUUAAUUUAUCUCUUUAUAUUAAUUUCUUAGCUUGAAAAAGUAGUAGACACGUUUUCAACCAACAACUUGGUUGGCAACCCUGAUGUCUGUCAUUGAAAGAAUGCUUGUUUUCUUCACGACGCAAAAUGUCUGUAAGUUUAUUUUAUGAUACUUUAAGGUCCUAUUCUACUGUAGAUACACAGGAGGUCAAGUGAGUGUGUGAGAAUGAACUGUCUGUUACUAUUGUUGAGGAGAUGUGGGAGGACAUUUGGAGAUAUGCAAAAACAAUAUCUAUCUGUAAUCGCAUUAGAGCAAUCCAAUUAAGAAUAAAGCACACAUUGCAUAUA